ensembl:lncRNA
GUCCCAGUUCCACUCGCCGGGACAGAAGGGGUCUCGGGCUGGAAGGUGGCCGGCAGGGACCUGGGGCUUGGCCUGUGUGCUGGGGGAGGAGAAGGACUCCGAGUGGCUGGCUUUGGCGCCGCGUUUGCUGGGAGCUGAGAUGUUCCUGCAGAGCUCUGAGCCCCAGGGUGUCCAGGAGGUGGCUCUCCUGGUUUUUAGGGUGCUGGAGCACGUUUUUUAACAGCCAGGUGCAGAGCGUGAGGCCCGGGCCAGCGGCAUUGUGGGCCGAGCCGAGCGAGAGCUGACGGGAGCCGGGCCUGGCUGUGGCCUGUGGUCCUCUGACAGCCGUUUCUCCCUGGAGCAGGGACAGCUGCAGACAGGGAAAAACCUCAGGUUUGGGGGGUGCUGCUGUCUCCUGGGCUCAGCCUUGCUGCUUGCAGAGGAGGAGAGGGUCCCACCCCUGAGCUGCUUUCAACCCCAGAGCCCUGGGCAGGGGGGCUCUGAGCCUGCGGGUGAGAGUGGCAGCUGGAAGGUAGGGGAUGCGUGCUUUCUCUCAGACUGCCACCUCGCCAGUGGGUCCCAAGGCCCAUAAGCUGGACAGCGAACCUCUGCUUCUGCACUGGGCCUCCUCCAUCACCGCCAUACUCACUGGCGGCCGCUUCCUCUCCUGGGCCUCGGAGUCCAAGUCGUUUCCAGGGUGGGAUGGGUGAUUAGGAUUGGGGGUAGGAAGAGGUAUAAAUGCUUCAGGUGCAGCUCUUUUGCUUGGAGGCCCCAGAAUUCGGACGACAGCCUCCUCCUUCACGCGGUCUCCAGGAACAGCGUGACUCAGGCCUCCAUCUCCUGCUGCUCCCCUGCAGGUUUCUUCCACGGGUGUCCUGAAGGCUGGCUCCUCUGCCCGCUUAUCUCGGUGGAGUUCAGGAAGGCCCUAAGACGGCUGGUGCUUUUCUAUGCUUCAUCCCUCUCUUCCUUUAGGGGAUCUAAUUUUGACUGAAGCCCCUGCAAGUGGGUGCCUGAAGAUUGGCAAGCUUGGUUCCAUCAGGCUCUGACCCAAACCCCGACCGUCACCGGUUUAGCAAGCUGCCUCCUCUGUGGCAGGGCGUUGGGAAUUUCAGCCUCCGCUGUGCUGUAGAGAAGGUCCAUGACCUCCUUUUCCACGAAAACUUUGUGCUGAGGGCGCUCAAGAGCCCGCUGAGUCCCAGCAUUUCCACAGGGCUGGGGUCUUCCCUAAGAGAUUCUUCCAGCUGAGCGGGUGCUUCUCGCAUAUUCUGAGCAAGCCCUGGCCCUGGAAGCAGGAAAUCAGAUGCUUUUGAGAAGGGUGGCACAGGCUGGGACUCGGGUUUCACUUAAUUUGGAAAACUUUUUAGCACUUUCUGUCUCUUCCUUAUGUUACUUAAAUUUUUUCUCCUAUUAUUUUUUUCUGUAUUUGUUUUUAUCUUCUAUUUUACUCAUCCUCUUUUCUAAACAAUGUUAAAGCCAUCUAUUGAGUUCAUACUUUUAAAUAUUGUAUUUCGCAUUCUAGAGUUUCCAUCUUUGAAAAAUAGAAUUUAAUUUUCUGGUAAGAUUUUUGAUGUACUAAUUAUAGAUAUUUUAAAAUCUGGGCACAAUAAUUCCAAGUUCUAAAACCCUGUGAACAUGGAUUUGUCCAUUUUUUCUUUUGUUUGUAAUCAUUUAGCCAACUCCUCACUGACCUAAUAAGUGUGAUCAAGUACCAAAAAAAGUGUAGAAAACUUUUUAAGGAUAAUUUACGGCUCUAGUUAAUUUUGUUUAUGUCCAGGAUUUACUUUUGCCUCCUAGCUAAAGGAGAAUACAUCACUUUUAACCAAUUUGGGAUCCAACUGGUUAGAAGCUGAUUUCCAUUCCUCCUUAGGGCUGACCUGUUUCUCAUUGCUUUUCACCCCUGGUUUGAAUCCCUCUGAGAACAAAAGGGGAAUUCAUACAUUUUUCACAUAGGCCCUUUUCCUUUAGAGGUAGGAUUCCAGUUUUUGCUGCCUGAACCCUAUGUGAAGAUUAUAAGACUAUUUCAGCUUCACCUUUUAAUCUUCUAGCUUCUCUCUGACUAUGGAUAAGCAAAUGCCUUCAGGAAACUGCCCUUUCUUUGGUAAUCCUUGAUUCUUAACCCUUGAAUGCCUUCAUAAUCUAAGACUUUAAGUUUUGUCUCUGUGGGCAAAUAAGGCUGAGGGGCUGUUUAGUUUAUUGUCCCUGCAGCUCUUGUUUUAUACAAGGCUGUGCCAUUUAUAAAUUGACAAGUGCCCAGGAAGGAAAAUGUCUCAGAAUGUCAAGCUUGGCUUGAUAUGCUUCCUCACCCUCUAACAUCCUAACUCCUAUGUAGUUAUUGGAUGUAUUUAUAUUGUUGUCUAGCUUUUCUCAUUCUUGGUAAGAAAGCAAGUCUACAACCAGGUACUUUGCAAAUACCGAAAGUGGGUACACCAAAUAAAUAUUAUCAUGUGAAGAAAAUACCUGUCUCUUACAUUGUGAAUAGUCCUUUAACAGGAAUGGGUACUGAAUUUUUAGUUUUAUAAAUAAAAAGAAAUUAUAAAUUUUUGACUUUGGUUGAAUUAAUUAUAGGAAUAAAUUUUGUAAUACAAUUAAGACUGUCUAGUGUUUUUCAAUUACAGACACUUAAACUAAGAGGAUUACUGUAUGAUGGAAUUUAUUAUGUUUAAUAUUUAUUUGGGGCUCUAAAAUGUAUCUUUGUAAGGAAAUCUCAGCUUUAGCUUUCCAGCGCAGGUUUUUGACCUCUUAAAUAAAAAUCUUAAGAAAUCUCAGAGUUUAAUGUUUUAAGUAGUUGCUUUUUUGUUUGAGUUUUUAUUAUUACAUUAUUUUAUUGUAUUGUUUUUAGAGAGUAUGUCCUGCCAAAUAUGGUGGCAUCAUCCAAUCUGCUGAAAAUCUGAAGAGAACAAAAGGCUGAGGAGAAAUCAGCCCCUGGUGUUUUCUGCCCACUGCCUGAGCUAGAACAUAGCUCUAAGAAACCUUUAAGAAAUUUGUGUGUGUUUACAGACCACUCUUUCCCUUUCUGUGAACCUUGUGUGUUCUUUUCCAAUUUCCUAAUUUUUUAAAUUAACUUGAAAAAUAUUUUAUAGUGGGGUUAUUAAACAUUUAUCAAUUACAAUCAAUUACUAGCUAUUGUAACUAGCUUGAGUGAGCUAGGAGAGACAGAUGGCUGAGCUGCCAAUGUCAGAGCAGCUCGUUAAAGCAAUAAGCCAAAAAGAAGAGUCAAGCCUUUCAUUACUUACUGCCUUUAGUGUAUGCAAGAGACCAAAGGCAGAGAAAGCACUCUCUGCCCCUGCACACAUGAAGAGUCAAAUGGGUCAUCACACACACAGAAGUUGUCACUGUUGAGGAACGUCCAAGCCAAUGUCUCCAGAAGCUUUCUGAACUCAAGGGAGAAGAGAAGGGAGCAGGGAGGAAGAAGAGGUAAAAAUGGAAAAGUAAGUGGUGUUGAGUCAGCGGAGAAAGUGUGUCCUCAGGCUUUCCCUGUCCUUUUUCCUUCCCUUAGGAGAUCUCCUCACAGGUCCCAGAACGCCUCUACCCCAAGGUCUCAGAGAAAGUAACCUGGGAAAGAAAGUGCUUCAAUGCAAAUAUGCACAAAGCCUGAUCUGCCAGAUGGGCCUGAGGCCCUGACUAUAGCUCCCUUCUGAGAAUGCAAGGCACCGGCCUUGGGCCAAGCCCAGCGUAGGAAGAGCAGCUUUCCUAGUACAGCUGCCAAGUAAAGCCUUUGUAAUUUCCCAUGGUGGCCCCGAAAAGACACAGGGGGGUCAACGAGAAGCUGGAUUGCUGCUCAUCAGUGUUUGCCAAUAUCUCCUUC